rnacentral:lncRNA from 1 species
GAGAAAGAGAAAUGUCAGGUUGAUAGAGAGCGGCCUCCUUCCCACUGCCUGGAGGAUGGAGAGACCAAGAAAGCAAGGCAGAAGGAACAGCACCCCUGGGCAAGGGGAGAGUGCUGGGCUGUGCCAAGUGUCUCAAGGAGCUAUUGGGGCCCUUCACUCACAACCACCCUAAACGCUGCAUGUGGGAUCCUGGGCAGGGUGAUUUACUGCAACAUGACCUGCACGUGUCUUUUGAGAAGCUGACGGGCUAGAUGCUGAGGUCUUGUUUUCCCAUCUGCUGGCAGCUCUGCAGAACCCCUGACUUCUGCGUGAGACACAGGAGCAUGUGGCGGUCACCUCAUUUCCUCUGCCUGAUGGACCAGAAGUACUGUGGCAGGUGUAUACUGAAGAAGCAAGCACAGAUUUUUCUUCAGAAUUAUCUUGGGAGUGAGCAGUUACUUGAAAGCAAGGCGAGAGGCUUGUGUUGGAGUAGCCACUCCCAGAAUAGCCGCUUUGCUCUGAUGGAUUUAUAAUAGCCACUUUAACCAGUGCCAGGAAAACACUGAACUUCAAAUGAGUCAUUUUUCCACAGCUGUGAAUAAGUUAGGAUGAACUUCAGAUAGGCACACUUUUUUUUUUUUUUUUUGAGAUACCACAACCACAGCAAAGCCUUGAGCCCCUUCACUUUCAUCCACAAGAAGUGGCCAUGCACAUCUUUCUUGGACUGGUAUACCUGAAGCUUUCUUAUUCUGCACAGGAGAAGCUACAAGAUAUUUUCUGGGAGAGUACUGGCUUUUGGUUACCUGUCUCUGCAUGACUCCACGCCCAGAUUCAAUGCUGGUGCAAAGAAAAGCAGUGCCACAGACAUAGGGCUGUGGCAUUGGGCAGCUGCAGGCAGAAGUAACCUGGAGUGUUACACACACUACUGAGGCUAAGGAACAAGCUUGCUGCAGUCACCAAAGCCUUCUUGCUCUCCUUCUUUCUACAUAAAAUGUCUGUAUACAUACACCUGGGCUUUCUGCGGCCCCAUUUCUUCCCGUCCAUGCCAUAAUGCCUUUCCCCACAUGCUUCCUUCAAUUAUGGUUCUCUUCCCCAUACCAAAGUCUUCCAAGGGUACACUCCACCUCUGCCCUUCUGUCUUUUGACCUUAAUUUUUUUUCACUUUUCUCAUUUUUCUUUUCUUUCUCCUUCAAAGUGACAGAAUUUCAGACAACAUUUGAGAAGACGGGCACUGCCUGGAAUGUGUUAAAAGCCACCAUCACCCAAUAGCUAUGGCGCUAUUGCUAUUCUGUCUCUAUUAUAUCCAUUGUGCUUUCCUGGUUUUCACCAAAAUCAGUGACUGAGUAUAGAACACGUCCUGAAAUUUUUACACUUUUCUCGUUUAGCUCUUGGGCUCAGGGACUCUCGUCUGGAUGGCACUCCCAGGCUUCCUGGGAUCUGCUGGUCACUAGGGUAUGCAUAGCAUGGACUUGCAGCUCUCAGUGCUGGAAGAGAAGGACAAAGACAUAACCACCACCUCCCUUUUUCUGCCCCAGUUGCCCAUACGUCAAGGCCUAUCUCUUUCUGAUCUGUACAUUCCUGGGAGUAUACUUAGCUGAAAAAUUAUACCUUUGCGUUAUGUGCUGCCCUUUUGAGUAUGGGAGACUCCUCUUCACUGACAGACAGCACCCAUUUUCCUCUUACAGCUGCUGCAGCCUGGCAGAGCUGAGGGGCACAUGCUGUGUUCUCGCACUGUGGCCCAACUUUGGCCUGUCCCGGGCUUUGCCUUUACCUGAAAGAGAAGGGCGUGCUUUGUUCUGCUAGCACAGAAGCGAGAGUCCUGGCAGUGAGAACAGACGGAGGCAUCACGCAAUCACAGCAACUGUAAAUAUGCCACGCUUCUUUUUAUUGUUAUGUCAUAAUCACAACGUUCCUUUAAUGUAGUUUGUUUGACUUCUGUGCUAAAAAUAAGUGGAUCUUGCUGUUUCCAGGACAACCACUAACCCGAUGGCUUAUCUCGGCGCCGCUCCUCUGUCAAAAGGAUGUUCUAAAAAGAGCUAACCAUGAAUAUUAAAAAUGAAGCAUGCACACAAUAAAGCAUUCCAUGGGAAGAGCCCCA